rnacentral:rRNA from 1 species
CCGCGGUCAUACAAGAGACCCAAAUUAACUGUAUGCGGCGUAAAGAGUGGUAUCAUGUUAUCACAACAACUAAGACCGAAGUGCAACCAAGCUGUCAUAAGCUCAAGACGUACCUAAGACCUCCAUAGACCUUAGUGACCCUGAUUAAUUUAAUCCCACGAAAGCUAAGACACAAACUGGGAUUAGAUACCCCACUAUGCUUAGCCCUAAAUCUCGAUGCUUUUCCACAUACUAAAGCAUCCGCCCGAGAACUACGAGCACAAACGCUUAAAACUCUAAGGACUUGGCGGUGCCCUAAACCCACCUAGAGGAGCCUGUUCUGUAAUCGAUAACCCACGUUAACACCCGACCGUCCCUUGCUACAAAACAGCCUAUAUACCGCCGUCGCCAGCUCACCUCCUCUGAGAGUUCAACAGCGAACACAAUAGCCCAAACCCGCUAAUAAGACAGGUCGAGGUAUAGCCCACGGGACGGAAGAAAUGGGCUACAUUUUCUAACAAUAGACAAAUUCACGAAAGGGGGUAUGAAACCGCCCCCCGAAGGCGGAUUUAGCAGUAAAGCGGGACAAUAUAUGCCCUCUUUAAACUGGCCCUGGGGCACGUACAUACCGCCCGUCACCCUCCUCACAAGCUACAUUAUUCAUAAUACUUUAAUAUCUAUCCUGAGCUGAAGAUGA